GGACCAAGGAGUCCAGCGAACGAGCGUGACGCAAAGGUUCAUUUUAUAGAAUCCGUCAAACUUAACGAAAGCAAUCGAGAGUCGUACGCGGCUCGUGUGUUUGUAUGAUGAGACGUUACAAUCUGAUUUAUUCAGAUGACGUUUAGGCAAAUCGGAGAUGGCAAUUAUGCGUCAGCAAUGGCGCUGCCGUACUCGUAGCUCGUGCUCUGGAACCCGAAAGAUGGUGAACUAUGCAUGGAAAGGAUGAAGCCAGGGGAAACUCUGGUGGAGGUCCGCAAUGGUUCUGACGUGCAAAUCGAUCAUCAGAACUAUGUAUAGGGGCGAAAGACCAAUCGAACCAUCUAGUAGCUGGUUCCUUUCGAAGUUUCCCUAAGGAUAGCUGAGGUCUAGUAACGAUAGUCACAUGCGGUAAAGCGAAUGAUUAGAGUCGUUGGGUUCGAAACGUUCUCAACCUAUUCUCAAACUGUUAAUGUGUGUGUUUUCCAUUAGCUAGCGUGCUAUGGUAGCAAGUGGAUAGAUAGUAAAGGCCUUCAGUGGGCCAUUUUUGGUAAGCAGAACUGGCGAUGCGGGAUGAACCGGUCGUAAAGUUAUAGUGCCAAAAUCAACGCAUAUCGGACCCCACAAAAGGCGUUAGUAACUAAAGACAGCAGGACGGUGGCCAUGGAAGUCGGC
rnacentral:rRNA from 1 species